rnacentral:rRNA from 1 species
UACGAAGGGGGCUAGCGUUGUUCGGAAUCACUGGGCGUAAAGCGCACGUAGGCGGAUCUUUAAGUCAGAGGUGAAAUCCCAAGGCUCAACCUUGGAACUGCCUUUGAUACUGGGGAUCUUGAGUCCGGGAGAGGUGAGUGGAACUGCGAGUGUAGAGGUGAAAUUCGUAGAUAUUCGCAAGAACACCAGUGGCGAAGGCGGCUCACUGGCUCGGUACUGACGCUGAGGUGCGAAAGCGUGGGGAGCGAACAGG